GACCGAUCUAACUUAUGAUGUUGGCUCGGGAGCGGUCCAGCUUAUAGUUGAAGGCUCAAGUGGAGAUCCAGCCUCGUGUUGUUGGCCUUGUGUUCAUAUUUAUGGGGAACUCACUAAUCGUUGUUCUUACAGUUUUUGGUUUAACAUUUUUCAGGUACUUCCAGUUCCAAAGGAAGUGCCCGACUUGACUGCACAUCAUCCCAUAGAGUUUACUCUGUAUCGGCUAUUUUUGAUUUCUACUUUGAUAUUUAAAUGAUUUAUUUCACUUGGAUUGGUUUUGGAACAAAUUGUUGUAUGGGUUUAAUGUUUAAAAAAGAAAAUUUUACUAUGAAUUUUUAGGGACGUGACAAGUUGGUAUCAGAGCCUUGAUUUCAGGGAUUCGGGCACACUCUUGGGUGUGUCUAAAAUCAAAAUGAGGAAUUGUCGAUCAUUUCAAAAGAAAAUAGUUUUUAUAAAAGAUUUUAUUACAAAAGAAAGGGGUGCGAUGCGUGCAAUCAAGCGAGCUCAAGUAAGGGAUUCCCAGAAUAUGUAUACAUGAUGAUAUUUUUUAUGUUAUGGAAUGUUUGGAUGCUAGGAUAAGGCUAUGGUUACCUUCAGGAAUUGCAUGAUAGAAUGGCCUAAUUUUUGAUGCUUUGUAGCCUAGAAGAAAUUAGAUGUUAUCCCUUAUUUGGAAUUUAUGUUGGUGGAAUAAUUUGCUAAGUGUAUGUUUAAAAAAAUUGUAUACGGUUAGAAUCAUUUAUUCGAAAGUCUAUUUUAUCCUGUAUCGUAUAUAAUUUGCAUGCAUAAGGCAACCAGUAGUGUUGGUAGAACUUCCUAGCAUCACAGGAGCAAGUUAGUUGGAGGAUGCCUUUUAUGUUUUGUGGCCUAUAGUGUAUUACUUCCCGAAUGGUGCUCGCUUUGUGAUUUGUGGGGCCCCUAUCGAUGUAAGCUAACUGUUAAAUGAAAUUGUUCAGUUACAUAUUGCAAGGGUUAGAUUGUUCUAGAAUGAUUGAUUUGGACCUAUUGCGCAGCUCUCGUCUGAAUUUAACCGUUGUAGGGUUGGGUCAUUUAUUCGAAAUAUUAUUUAUGUUUUUUCGCUUGUAAUAGUAUUCAUGAAGUAGCUAGUUGACAUUAGUAGGAGUUCUUCAGUAGCUAAUGGCAAGGUGAGGUGAGGAUCCUAAGAGAGCCUAGGAAGUGCUUUAGUACGAGUAGAGCAUUGUUUAGCGGAUGUUGGGAGUAUCGUUAUAAGGAGGUGACUUAGAGGAUCCAGGAUGAUUCUUGAGGAAAGUAUAGAUAGGUGUGGAAGGUAGUAUUGGGCCCGUAGUACUGAAAGCACAUGAUCUAUACUCAAAUCGAGGAGAAUCACGGUGAAUCCAAGUAAUUGGUGGAGGAAAGUACGGGGAAUGAUGUUGGGGUUUAUAAUUAGCACGUAUAAUUUGAUAACAUAAUGAGGAAACUUAAAUUUUAUGAUGACAUUUUUUUCUUUGUUUGGUAAAAUGUCGAUGUUUGGGUGGGAACCAGAUUUCUCUAGGAUUGGUGCGGGCAAAGAAGAACUAUGCGACUGGAUUGCCGCUGUGGUUUCACUGAUUUUAUUGGAAGAGUUUCUUGGUAUCAUUGUUCAGAUCUCUAAUAGGUUGGUUGUCAAGAUUAAGGAGCUGACUGUAGUUACUCGGACUGUGAAAGAGGGUACUACGAUGACUAGGGAGGGAGAUCUCGAAGUGGGAACGCGGCAAGGGAAAAGAAAUCAGGCACAUGAUUAAGCACUUCCGGUGAUGAGCGAGGAGUUCUAUGUGGCUAGCUUGGGUAUUGGAAGAUGGGGGGACCUCGAAAUUUGCAGCAACUAUGUAGGAACCCACGGGUUUGCUUUCCAAAAGUUCAAAUGCUAUAAAUAUGGAGAGGAGGGGCAAAUCAUGCAAAUUUGCAAAAAGGAGCUGGUAUGUUUUCACUGUCACCAGCUGGUCAUUUAAAAUCCGACUGUCCUGCGUGGGUCGUAGAAGGAGUGCAGACCCCAACACCUAUUGUCCGACAGGUGGUCAAGGUUGAGCCGCAGGAAACUACUAGUAUGUAUUUUGACCUUUAUUUUAUCUAAAUUGGACAUGUUCUUGUUUAGUAGAUUAGAGCUAUUAUUUGUACAUUAGUAGAUUUCAAUGGAUCUGUGAUUCAGUCCUCAGAGUUCCUAAUAAAUCAUUGGUACAUAGAUCGCUCUCAUUGGGUUUCAAGUUGUAAUAUUGGAAAGUUUCGGAUGUCACAUCUAAGGAUUGCAGUCUAUUUAUGAUCGUCUGGUAUUUAUUAAUCGAGGAAUCUCCCAUAUGCCAUUUUGCAUAUUGAGAAUAAUGAUUGAAGGGUAUCUCGUUGAGCCAGUUCUAUGCAUCAGUCUGGGGGUGACGUCCAGUUAUAAAAUACACCCUAGGUAGAGUGCAGUCAAAUCCAAGUUGGGGGGGGGGAGGGGUUGCAUGGGUUAAUAGGUAUGUUUUAAAGCAUGAAUCAAUGUGUAAUUAUUUAUCCUGGGUCAGUGGAAGAGCCAGUUCUGGUUGUGGUAUGAGUCGGGUGGUAUGAGUCGGGGUUUAAGACAGUAAUACUGUUAAUUGUUCGGUUGUAAUCAGGGAGGAAAAUGUUGAGGGUGCAGGUUAUCUCGUCUGAAGUCAUGAAGCAUCAGUAGCGACACUUUAUGGGUUCAUGGUUAGGUUUAGGGCGAGGGUUGUUCUAACGCCCAAAUUUUUAUCACCAGGUAUACCCCAAAAUACAUUCCAUAAUUAAAAAAAUGUUUACAGAAUGUUUUGGUAUACACUGGCACACUGGAGCACAAGAAGCGAUCACAAGGAUCAUGCUGGCAGCAAGCAUAUGAUCAAGUCGGGCAUUACAAUCUUUAACCUGCAAACAUUUAAUUACAAACAAACAAUGUAAGCCUCACGGCUUAGUGAAUAACAACUAAAAUAACAUAAACACAUAAUCCAUAUAAUAAAUAAUCCAUCAGGUAGAUAUAUUCACAAUAUCUACUAAGAGAUCUAGCAUAGACCUUUUUGCAUGAUAAUCUCAUGCUUAGUAAAGCACUAAGCCCAAACCUGUCAAAUGAUACUAUCUCCAAUCCGAGAUAAGCAUAAACCAAUAUAAAAAUAAUUUAUUUUAACCAAUUUAAUUAAUCAAAUAUGUUAUCUCCAAUCCGAGAUAACAUAUUCAAAUAAUUAUACCAUCCUAAGGUAUCAUGUAAGGUCAUAAUAAUCACCAAUACACAUAUACCAAAAUGUGCAGGUGCCAACAACAACAAAUGUUAGAGUAGUGUUACUCACCUGAUCACUUGGUUGACACACUACUUCGGUCAUUGACCUAUACAUCAUUCCCGUCCGUCACAAACCGGUACCUAACUAACAAUUUCCAAGUUCCAUAGAACCUGUUAUAAUUUACCCUUAACUACACCCCGUGACUAUUUGUCACCAAGCUCAUUAAAUACAAUAAUAUAUCAAUACUAGGGUUAACCCGAUGAGCCAAUAACCAAUCUACCAUAUUGGGACAUUUCAGUAGAUUAGGUUUUAUAACCUUGAAAGUCCCAACUAACUAUCUUACCAUGAGAUUUACUUACAAAUCUCACCAACAGGUCUAUAACAACACCGUAUCACAGAUACAAGUAUAUGUACAUAACAUAUACUCAAAUCUAUCCAAUCCCGACAAUAAUGUUGUAUAAAACAAUUACAUAAUAAUGGGGUAAAUUAUACCUCCGCGAGCCCCAUGUCUCACGUAUAACAACACAAAUCACUUUAUACGAUAUCCCGCAACCGAAUCUCGGCAGCGGUUCACUUACGUGAACAAGAACCUUCCAAAUAACACUAAAACACUUGUUUUUAUAGUCUGCAAGCUCUCACAUCGUGAGAAUUAUAAGCUCACAUCAUGAGCAGUGUCCAGACAUGGUCCAGCCACGCGUCGCACUCUCCCACCAUGUGUCUCGUCAAUUCAUCGCAUCUCACGUCGUGAGAAUCACUUGCUUACGUCGUGAGAGUUAAAUUUCACGUCGUGACAAUCAUGAUUCACGUCGUGGUGGUCAAAGGUUGACCUGUUACGAAAAACCAGGUGUCACAAGUCUUCCCCACUUCAAUAGAUUCCGUCCCAUGAAUCUCCUAAAGUCUCGUGCAAUAAUCAAGAAUUCCAUUAACUUAUAGUCCUUCCAAGAAGAACUAUUGAAUCACAUUCUCCACUACAAUUGCAUAAAAAUGCAUGGUUGUACAUUAUAUUAUCACAAUAUUAGUAUAAAUGUCCCAUACAUUUACACUACAAUACGCAUAUAUCUUCAUCAACAAUGAUAACCAUUUUCAAUACAAAAUGGUUAUGAGAUAUCAAUUACCAUCAAAUUUCUACAUAUCAUAUUAAAAUUCCUUUCAAUUAUUAACACUUUUCCUUGUGCCUCACAAUCGACUAACAUUUAUUGUAAGAAGUUCAUAACACAAAAAAAUCUCACAUAAUAAGGAUAGGAACGUAUUCACUGUCCCUAAAUAAUUCUACUUAAUCAUAAAUUUUAUUUACUGUCAUCGUAUUCUUCACAAAAAGUAGUACUUACUUACUACCUAAUUAAAAACCAACUAUUUCUAUUUACCGUUCUCAACUAUCACCAGGUACUCGAUUUAGGACUCCUUCCAAGUCAGGUGAGUUUUCCUCACUAUACUCGUGGGUCGAAGGCACCAAUGCCAACCCCUAUAUUAUGUUGUCUAUCCCUGUGUAUAGGAUUGCUAUGCUAUAGUGAUAUGUUAGAUUCGUAGAUGUGUAUGAUUACCUGUACUGUAUGAUUAUUUGUUUAUGUACAUAUGUCGACAUAUUGUAGUUAGGGUAAGGCGGUCCUGGUUUGUGCUGAAGGCCAAGAUACCUGGGAUGGUCCAGCUGAUACUGUAAGCCCAAGGGACCGAUCUAACUUAUGAUGUUGGCUCGGGAGCGGUCCAGCUUAUAGUUGAAGGCUCAAGUGGAGAUCCAGCCUCGUGUUGUUGGCCUUGUGUUCAUAUUUAUGGGGAACUCACUAAUCGUUGUUCUUACAGUUUUUGGUUUAACAUUUUUCAGGUACUUCCAGUUCCAAAGGAAGUGCCCGACUUGACUGCACAUCAUCCCAUAGAGUUUACUCUGUAUCGGCUAUUUUUGAUUUCUACUUUGAUAUUUAAAUGAUUUAUUUCACUUGGAUUGGUUUUGGAACAAAUUGUUG
rnacentral:lncRNA from 1 species